AACCUAUUUUUAACCGAAGAACUACUUUUUGCCUCCCUCACAAAGGCGGCGGAAGGUGAUCGAAUUCCGGUGAUGCGAGUUGUUCUCCGUCUAUAAAUACGCCUCGCCCGAGCUGUGCGGUAGGCAUUGAGGCAGCCAGCGCAGGGGCUUCUGCUGAGGGGGCAGGCGGAGCUUGAGGAAACCGCAGAUAAGUUUUUUUCUCUUUGAAAGAUAGAGAUUAAUACAACUACUUAAAAAAUAUAGUCAAUAGGUUACUAAGAUAUUGCUUAGCGUUAAGUUUUUAACGUAAUUUUAAUAGCUUAAGAUUUUAAGAGAAAAUAUGAAGACUUAGAAGAGUAGCAUGAGGAAGGAAAAGAUAAAAGGUUUCUAAAACAUGACGGAGGUUGAGAUGAAGCUUCUUCAUGGAGUAAAAAAUGUAUUUAAAAGAAAAUUGAGAGAAAGGACUACAGAGCCCCGAAUUAAUACCAAUAGAAGGGCAAUGCUUUUAGAUUAAAAUGAAGGUGACUUAAACAGCUUAAAGUUUAGUUUAAAAGUUGUAGGUGAUUAAAAUAAUUUGAAGGCGAUCUUUUAAAAAGAGAUUAAACCGAAGGUGAUUAAAAGACCUUGAAAUCCAUGACGCAGGGAGAAUUGCGUCAUUUAAAGCCUAGUUAACGCAUUUACUAAACGCAGACGAAAAUGGAAAGAUUAAUUGGGAGUGGUAGGAUGAAACAAUUUGGAGAAGAUAGAAGUUUGAAGUGGAAAACUGGAAGACAGAAGUACGGGAAGGCGAAGAAAAGAAUAGAGAAGAUAGGGAAAUUAGAAGAUAAAAACAUACUUUUAGAAGAAAAAAGAUAAAUUUAAACCUGAAAAGUAGGAAGCAGAAGAAAAAAGACAAGCUAGGAAACAAAAAGCUAAGGGCAAAAUGUACAAACUUAGAAGAAAAUUGGAAGAUAGAAACAAGAUAGAAAAUGAAAAUAUUGUCAAGAGUUUCAGAUAGAAAAUGAAAAACAAGCUAAGACAAGUAUUGGAGAAGUAUAGAAGAUAGAAAAAUAUAAAGCCAAAAAUUGGAUAAAAUAGCACUGAAAAAAUGAGGAAAUUAUUGGUAACCAAUUUAUUUUAAAAGCCCAUCAAUUUAAUUUCUGGUGGUGCAGAAGUUAGAAGGUAAAGCUUGAGAAGAUGAGGGUGUUUACGUAGACCAGAACCAAUUUAGAAGAAUACUUGAAGCUAGAAGGGGAAGUUGGUUAAAAAUCACAUCAAAAAGCUACUAAAAGGACUGGUGUAAUUUAAAAAAAACUAAGGCAGAAGGCUUUUGGAAGAGUUAGAAGAAUUUGGAAGGCCUUAAAUAUAGUAGCUUAGUUUGAAAAAUGUGAAGGACUUUCGUAACGGAAGUAAUUCAAGAUCAAGAGUAAUUACCAACUUAAUGUUUUUGCAUUGGACUUUGAGUUAAGAUUAUUUUUUAAAUCCUGAGGACUAGCAUUAAUUGACAGCUGACCCAGGUGCUACACAGAAGUGGAUUCAGUGAAUCUAGGAAGACAGCAGCAGACAGGAUUCCAGGAACCAGUGUUUGAUGAAGCUAGGACUGAGGAGCAAGCGAGCAAGCAGCAGUUCGUGGUGAAGAUAGGAAAAGAGUCCAGGAGCCAGUGCGAUUUGGUGAAGGAAGCUAGGAAGAAGGAAGGAGCGCUAACGAUUUGGUGGUGAAGCUAGGAAAAAGGAUUCCAGGAAGGAGCGAGUGCAAUUUGGUGAUGAAGGUAGCAGGCGGCUUGGCUUGGCAACCACACGGAGGAGGCGAGCAGGCGUUGUGCGUAGAGGAUCCUAGACCAGCAUGCCAGUGUGCCAAGGCCACAGGGAAAGCGAGUGGUUGGUAAAAAUCCGUGAGGUCGGCAAUAUGUUGUUUUUCUGGAACUUACUUAUGGUAACCUUUUAUUUAUUUUCUAAUAUAAUGGGGGAGUUUCGUACUGAGGUGUAAAGGGAUUUAUAUGGGGACGUAGGCCGAUUUCCGGGUGUUGUAGGUUUCUCUUUUUCAGGCUUAUACUCAUGAAUCUUGUCUGAAGCUUUUGAGGGCAGACUGCCAAGUCCUGGAGAAAUAGUAGAUGGCAAGUUUGUGGGUUUUUUUUUUUUACACGAAUUUGAGGAAAACCAAAUGAAUUUGAUAGCCAAAUUGAGACAAUUUCAGCAAAUCUGUAAGCAGUUUGUAUGUUUAGUUGGGGUAAUGAAGUAUUUCAGUUUUGUGAAUAGAUGACCUGUUUUUACUUCCUCACCCUGAAUUCGUUUUGUAAAUGUAGAGUUUGGAUGUGUAACUGAGGCGGGGGGGAGUUUUCAGUAUUUUUUUUUGUGGGGGUGGGGGCAAAAUAUGUUUUCAGUUCUUUUUCCCUUAGGUCUGUCUAGAAUCCUAAAGGCAAAUGACUCAAGGUGUAACAGAAAACAAGAAAAUCCAAUAUCAGGAUAAUCAGACCACCACAGGUUUACAGUUUAUAGAAACUAGAGCAGUUCUCACGUUGAGGUCUGUGGAAGAGAUGUCCAUUGGAGAAAUGGCUGGUAGUUACUCUUUUUUCCCCCCACCCCCUUAAUCAGACUUUAAAAGUGCUUAACCCCUUAAACUUGUUAUUUUUUACUUGAAGCAUUUUGGGAUGGUCUUAACAGGGAAGAGAGAGGGUGGGGGAGAAAAUGUUUUUUUCUAAGAUUUUCCACAGAUGCUAUAGUACUAUUGACAAACUGGGUUAGAGAAGGAGUGUACCGCUGUGCUGUUGGCACGAACACCUUCAGGGACUGGAGCUGCUUUUAUCCUUGGAAGAGUAUUCCCAGUUGAAGCUGAAAAGUACAGCACAGUGCAGCUUUGGUUCAUAUUCAGUCAUCUCAGGAGAACUUCAGAAGAGCUUGAGUAGGCCAAAUGUUGAAGUUAAGUUUUCCAAUAAUGUGACUUCUUAAAAGUUUUAUUAAAGGGGAGGGGCAAAUAUUGGCAAUUAGUUGGCAGUGGCCUGUUACGGUUGGGAUUGGUGGGGUGGGUUUAGGUAAUUGUUUAGUUUAUGAUUGCAGAUAAACUCAUGCCAGAGAACUUAAAGUCUUAGAAUGGAAAAAGUAAAGAAAUAUCAACUUCCAAGUUGGCAAGUAACUCCCAAUGAUUUAGUUUUUUUCCCCCCAGUUUGAAUUGGGAAGCUGGGGGAAGUUAAAUAUGAGCCACUGGGUGUACCAGUGCAUUAAUUUGGGCAAGGAAAGUGUCAUAAUUUGAUACUGUAUCUGUUUUCCUUCAAAGUAUAGAGCUUUUGGGGAAGGAAAGUAUUGAACUGGGGGUUGGUCUGGCCUACUGGGCUGACAUUAACUACAAUUAUGGGAAAUGCAAAAGUUGUUUGGAUAUGGUAGUGUGUGGUUCUCUUUUGGAAUUUUUUUCAGGUGAUUUAAUAAUAAUUUAAAACUACUAUAGAAACUGCAGAGCAAAGGAAGUGGCUUAAUGAUCCUGAAGGGAUUUCUUCUGAUGGUAGCUUUUGUAUUAUCAAACAGGUAUCUCUUCGUUAUCAGAAGAGUUGCUUCAUUUCAUCUGGGAGCAGAAAACAGCAGGCAGCUGUUAACAGAUAAGUUUAACUUGCAUCUGCAGUAUUGCAUGUUAGGGAUAAGUGCUUAUUUUUAAGAGCUGUGGAGUUCUUAAAUAUCAACCAUGGCACUUUCUCCUGACCCCUUCCCUAGGGGAUUUCAGGAUUGAGAAAUUUUUCCAUCGAGCCUUUUUAAAAUUGUAGGACUUGUUCCUGUGGGCUUCAGUGAUGGGAUAGUACACUUCACUCAGAGGCAUUUGCAUCUUUAAAUAAUUUCUUAAAAGCCUCUAAAGUGAUCAGUGCCUUGAUGCCAACUAAGGAAAUUUGUUUAGCAUUGAAUCUCUGAAGGCUCUAUGAAAGGAAUAGCAUGAUGUGCUGUUAGAAUCAGAUGUUACUGCUAAAAUUUACAUGUUGUGAUGUAAAUUGUGUAGAAAACCAUUAAAUCAUUCAAAAUAAUAAACUAUUUUUAUUAGAGAAUGUAUACUUUUAGAAAGCUGUCUCCUUAUUUAAAUAAAAUAGUGUUUGUCUGUAGUUCAGUGUUGGGGCAAUCUUGGGGGGGAUUCUUCUCUAAUCUUUCAGAAACUUUGUCUGCGAACACUCUUUAAUGGACCAGAUCAGGAUUUGAGCGGAAGAACGAAUGUAACUUUAAGGCAGGAAAGACAAAUUUUAUUCUUCAUAAAGUGAUGAGCAUAUAAUAAUUCCAGGCACAUGGCAAUAGAGGCCCUCUAAAUAAGGAAUAAAUAACCUCUUAGACAGGUGGGAGAUUAUGAUCAGAGUAAAAGGUAAUUACACAUUUUAUUUCCAGAAAGUCAGGGGUCUAUAAAUUGACAGUGAUUAGAGUAAUACUUUUUCACAUUUCCAAAGUUUGCAUGUUAACUUUAAAUGCUUACAAUCUUAGAGUGGUAGGCAAUGUUUUACACUAUUGACCUUAUAUAGGGAAGGGAGGGGGUGCCUGUGGGGUUUUAAAGAAUUUUCCUUUGCAGAGGCAUUUCAUCCUUCAUGAAGCCAUUCAGGAUUUUGAAUUGCAUAUGAGUGCUUGGCUCUUCCUUCUGUUCUAGUGAGUGUAUGAGACCUUGCAGUGAGUUUAUCAGCAUACUCAAAAUUUUUUUCCUGGAAUUUGGAGGGAUGGGAGGAGGGGGUGGGGCUUACUUGUUGUAGCUUUUUUUUUUUUUACAGACUUCACAGAGAAUGCAGUUGUCUUGACUUCAGGUCUGUCUGUUCUGUUGGCAAGUAAAUGCAGUACUGUUCUGAUCCCGCUGCUAUUAGAAUGCAUUGUGAAACGACUGGAGUAUGAUUAAAAGUUGUGUUCCCCAAUGCUUGGAGUAGUGAUUGUUGAAGGAAAAAAUCCAGCUGAGUGAUAAAGGCUGAGUGUUGAGGAAAUUUCUGCAGUUUUAAGCAGUCGUAUUUGUGAUUGAAGCUGAGUACAUUUUGCUGGUGUAUUUUUAGGUAAAAUGCUUUUUGUUCAUUUCUGGUGGUGGGAGGGGACUGAAGCCUUUAGUCUUUUCCAGAUGCAACCUUAAAAUCAGUGACAAGAAACAUUCCAAACAAGCAACAGUCUUCAAGAAAUUAAACUGGCAAGUGGAAAUGUUUAAACAGUUCAGUGAUCUUUAGUGCAUUGUUUAUGUGUGGGUUUCUCUCUCCCCUCCCUUGGUCUUAAUUCUUACAUGCAGGAACACUCAGCAGACACACGUAUGCGAAGGGCCAGAGAAGCCAGACCCAGUAAGAAAAAAUAGCCUAUUUACUUUAAAUAAACCAAACAUUCCAUUUUAAAUGUGGGGAUUGGGAACCACUAGUUCUUUCAGAUGGUAUUCUUCAGACUAUAGAAGGAGCUUCCAGUUGAAUUCACCAGUGGACAAAAUGAGGAAAACAGGUGAACAAGCUUUUUCUGUAUUUACAUACAAAGUCAGAUCAGUUAUGGGACAAUAGUAUUGAAUAGAUUUCAGCUUUAUGCUGGAGUAACUGGCAUGUGAGCAAACUGUGUUGGCGUGGGGGUGGAGGGGUGAGGUGGGCGCUAAGCCUUUUUUUAAGAUUUUUCAGGUACCCCUCACUAAAGGCACCGAAGGCUUAAAGUAGGACAACCAUGGAGCCUUCCUGUGGCAGGAGAGACAACAAAGCGCUAUUAUCCUAAGACCCUUCACCCCUCACCUCGAUGCAGCCAGUAGCUUGGAUCCUUGUGGGCAUGAUCCAUAAUCGGUUUCAAGGUAACGAUGGUGUCGAGGUCUUUGGUGGGUUGAACUAUGUUAGAAAAGGCCAUUAAUUUGCCUGCAAAUUGUUAACAGAAGGGUAUUAAAACCACAGCUAAGUAGCUCUAUUAUAAUACUUAUCCAGUGACUAAAACCAACUUAAACCAGUAAGUGGAGAAAUAACAUGUUCAAGAACUGUAAUGCUGGGUGGGAACAUGUAACUUGUAGACUGGAGAAGAUAGGCAUUUGAGUGGCUGAGAGGGCUUUUGGGUGGGAAUGCAAAAAUUCUCUGCUAAGACUUUUUCAGGUGAACAUAACAGACUUGGCCAAGCUAGCAUCUUAGCGGAAGCUGAUCUCCAAUGCUCUUCAGUAGGGUCAUGAAGGUUUUUCUUUUCCUG
rnacentral:lncRNA from 1 species